GUAGGGUGCAAGCGUUAAUCGGAAUUACUGGGCGUAAAGCGUGCGCAGGCGGUUAUGCAAGACAGAUGUGAAAUCCCCGGGCUCAACCUGGGAACUGCAUUUGUGACUGCAUAGCUAGAGUACGGUAGAGGGGGAUGGAAUUCCGCGUGUAGCAGUGAAAUGCGUAGAUAUGCGGAGGAACACCGAUGGCGAAGGCAAUCCCCUGGACCUGUACUGACGCUCAUGCACGAAAGCGUGGGGAGCAAACAGGAUUAGAUACCCUGGUAGUCCACGCCCUAAACGAUGUCAACUGGUUGUUGGGAGGGUUUCUUCUCAGUAACGUAGCUAACGCGUGAAGUUGACCGCCUGGGGAGUACGGCCGCAAGGUUG
rnacentral:rRNA from 1 species